UACGGGGGGGCAAGCGUUGUUCGGAAUUACUGGGCGUAAAGGGCUCGUAGGCGGCCAACUAAGUCAGACGUGAAAUCCCUCGGCUUAACCGGGGAACUGCGUCUGAUACUGGAUGGCUUGAGUUCGGGGAGGGAUGCGGAAUUCCAGGUGUAGCGGUGAAAUGCGUAGAUAUCUGGAGGAACACCGGUGGCGAAGGCGGCAUCCUGGACUGCAACUGACACUGAGGAACGAAAGCCAGGGAGCAAACGGG
rnacentral:rRNA from 1 species